GCGGGAUUGUUUGAAAGAGUUACCGCAGCCCUGGUAUAUGGCAGGCUUAAGAAGGAACAUGGCGGGUUUGGUCAGUAAGAGUCUGACACUCCCUCACCGCUGCUAACCCACAGCGGGAUGGGUUAUAUGAUGAUUUUUGUAAUAGAAAAUAGAAUGUUUGUGUGUGUGUGUAAGCUGGGCGAUUUUAUUGUAAAGUUUAUUGAAAUAUACCUGUAGGUAGGUAUUAAUAAUGGUUAGUUUUACCGGUUACUGAUAAGUCUCUCAUAGCUUCACUUCACCUAAAAUAAAUAUAGCCUAUCAGGAACUUAUCCGACAGAUUAACUAUAAUCCUUUGAGACUGGGAAGCUUAUUCUUCACCACUUUUUCUUUCUAGUCAUAACGCUAGGAAAUUGUGAAAGGGGGGCUGUCUUUUUGUAAUUUUUUCGUGAAAAACUAACCUGCUUUUGAUAAACGUUUUUGACUCUGAUUUCACAAGUUUCAGAUAGCAAUAUCUGGCAGAAAUUAUAAGCAACCUUUAUUGGGAAAUAGUAUUAACUAUCAGAUAACUAACUGAACCUUUAUCAGUGACUAGUGUAACAGGGCUUAGAUGUCGUAAAAUAUAGGUACUGCUUCUAGAUAGGAACUAUAUAAAAACUGUAUUCUAUUUAGUUAGAUAAAUAGCUAAAGAUUAACAGCCUUACUACAAAAACUUAAACAUUUGUUGGACACUUGUCUAAUCAAAGUAUGGUUGAAAACGGAACUUAUUUCAACGUCAUAAUCAUUUUUUUUAGACAAGUGUUCAACAGUCGUUUAAAAGUUUUUGUGUUACGACGGUAACAGUCUAUACUCUAUUUGAGUAGGUACUUAACUAAAGGUAAACUAAAGGUAAAAUCUUGAUAGGACGUCACACAAAUACAUAUUGAACAAAUAAACUACUGCUUACAAUAAUGAUUCAAUUGAUUAAGUUAUUGUUAUUAUUGUUUUUACAUAGAAUUUUUGCCGCAUUUUAUUUAUAAAGAAAAAGUCUUGCCUACUAUUGUUUUGCCUAAUCAAAUAUACUCGUAGUAUAGAUUGGAAGAAUCACCAUUAUCAUAAGCACGUCGUAUAAUUUAUAAGCCCUUGUUAAAUCAUUACAUAUGUAUACACAGCUUUUAUUAAAGUCGUGGUGACCUAGUGGGCAAAGAACCAACCUCUCGAGUAUGAGGGCGCGGGUUCGAUUCCAGCCACCUCAGCAUGGCGAUUCUAUCUCUAUUCUUCCAAGAAACGACAAAGCUCUUUCUUUCCCACUCGACAUGUCUUCUACCCGAGCAUGGCGCGAGCUGUAGACUCGCGUUUCUAUCAAGAGAAAGACUUUCCAUAGCAACGGAUAAGUAGCUAGUGAUGGGUCGUUCUGCGAUGAAUUUACGUUUAGUUAGCCAAAAAAAAUGUGUCAAUGCACUAUUUUUCACGCAUGAACCUAUACAUAAACUCACGUAACUCAAAGUAACAACAAAACGUAUUCAUCGAACUUAUUUUUUAUCUGUGGAACUAAAAUGGUUCAUGUUUGUUUGUUUACAAAAAACGAUUAUUGUUGUUGAUUUUACGUAUUUAAAUAUUAGUGAUUACUGCGUGCGGCAAGGAAAAAGUAAGUAGAUUUUGUGAUUAAAUAAAUAAAGUACUGAUUAUUCCAAUAGUUGUGUGUAAUUAAUCCAAACGAACAUAAUAAUUAUCCAUACAUACGAUGAAAAGAACAAAGGAAAAUAACAUAAUAAUCUCAAUAAAUGGUGAUUGGUGGCAUUGUCUGAUGAAAACUUUGCCAUGCACAGUUCAAUGCGUUCCUCACUGUUAUCUUGCUUCCCUAUAUUAUUGUCCGAAGUGUUUUUACUUUCGUCGUUACAAAACCUGUUUAUUUACAGCGUACGAAGUCCCAUCCAAUAAACGGAGAAGAUAGUAUCCCGAUCCAUUGGGAAAAGAAGGCCACGAUAAAGAAGAAUAGGUCCGUAUUCAAAAUGUGCUGAAAAAAUAUGGAAAAGAACGAGUUCUUGGCAUACAAUGCUGACACGAGAAACAUUCUAUUAAUUACAAAAAAAGGAUGCUAAAUGACAACUGGGUCGUCAGUUUACAAAUUAUAAAUUAUUGAAAUGAUAUCAUUUAAUAAAGAAUGUGAAUAUUAAAAUCAUAA